GUGAGUCAGCCACCUGGGGCUGCAGCCCUUGUUAGAGAAUGUUAAACGAGCAGGUCUCUGAGGAGGGGAGCUCAGCUUGGAGGGGUCUUGCCUGAAGACUGGGUGUAGCAGUGCCUCCUCUUGCCCUGAUAGGGGUUGGUAGCUUUGUGCAACAUUUGCUUGAUGUUGCAGGGCAAGGGAGAGAGGAUGUGGCUAGGGCUGGUUGGAGGCUGCAUCUAACUUUUCCAGGACCUACAGGGGCCAGCUUUGUUACCAGCCAGAAGAAGUGACGGCAGUAUCCUGGUGGUGGGGCAUUGUAUCUCCUAGGAGGGUGGAGCAAGUUAGCUGUGAGCGGGGCCUAGACACGUGCACUGCUGUGUUUGCUGCUGUUACACGAGGGCUGUCAGCACGGUGAUGGGGAGGCAGUGGAGAAGCUGAAGAGGUGAAGCAAUUUAGGACUCAACCCAAAGGUUAUCCAAGCCAUCAGGAAGCUUCGUGUUGGUUCCUGCAGCCUUCGGCAGAGGCGCAGCUCCCCUCACUGUAACCACAUCUGAGCCACUGCAACAGGCAUUACUUAAUAGCGCUGAGAAGAGAAGCAGAAGAAAAUUUCUUUGAAGUUUUACCUGGACCUGAAGAGGCAGGAGGAGAGAAGACAAAGUGGAAAUACGGGUGAAUGGAGGAGAGCCAUUUGCCACCAUCCAAACAGGUCCAUUUCAACCACUUUCCUGUUGCGUACCUGCUUUUAGCCAGAGCCACUUGAUGCAAGCAGAGGUUAGAGACCUUUGGGGCCAACGCUAAAGAGCAUCAUCUUUGUAUUCUGACUGCAAAUCUUCAGUGUUGAACUCCACGAACGUUCAGCUGUACCAGACUCUGUGAAGGCCUACGUAAGAAGGAAUAAUGUG
ensembl:lncRNA